AACGAACGCUGGCGGCAUGCCUAACACAUGCAAGUCGAACGAGACCUUCGGGUCUAGUGGCGCACGGGUGCGUAACACGUGGGAAUUUGCCUCGGGGUAUGGAAUAAACUCAGGGAAACUUGAGCUAAUACCAUAUAAUGUCUUCGGACCAAAGAUUUAUCGCCCUGAGAUAAGCCCGCGUAGGAUUAGCUAGUUGGUGAGGUAAAGGCUCACCAAGGCGACGAUCCUUAGCUGGUCUGAGAGGAUGAUCAGCCACACUGGGACUGAGACACGGCCCAGACUCCUACGGGAGGCAGCAGUGGGAAUAUUGGACAAUGGGCGAAAGCCUGAUCCAGCAAUGCCGCGUGAGUGAUGAAGG
rnacentral:rRNA from 1 species